GACAGAGGAUGCAAGCGUUAUCCGGAAUGAUUGGGCGUAAAGCGUCUGUAGGUGGCUUUUUAAGUCCGCCGUCAAAUCCCAGGGCUCAACCCUGGACAGGCGGUGGAAACUACCAAGCUGGAGUACGGUAGGGGCAGAGGGAAUUUCCAGUGGAGCGGUGAAAUGCGUAGAGAUUGGAAAGAACACCGAUGGCAAAGGCACUUUACUAGGCUAUUACUAACACUGAGAGACGAAAGCUAGGGUAGCAAAUGGG
rnacentral:rRNA from 1 species